UACAGAGGUCCCAAGCGUUGUUCGGAUUUACUGGGCGUAAAGGGCGCGUAGGCGGUCACUACAAGUCAGCUGUGAAAUCUCCGGGCUUAACUCGGAACGGUCAGCUGAUACUGUCGGACUAGAGUGCAGAAGGGGCAACUGGAAUUCUCGGUGUAGCGGUGAAAUGCGUAGAUAUCGAGAGGAACACCUGCGGCGAAGGCGGGUUGCUGGGCUGACACUGACGCUGAGGCGCGAAAGCUAGGGGAGCGAACGGG
rnacentral:rRNA from 1 species